GGGUUGUGAGGUUAAGCGACUAAGCGUACACGGUGGAUGCCCUGGCAGUCAGAGGCGAUGAAGGACGUGCUAAUCUGCGAUAAGCGUCGGUAAGGUGAUAUGAACCGUUAUAACCGGCGAUUUCCGAAUGGGGAAACCCAGUGUGUUUCGACACACUAUCAUUAACUGAAUCCAUAGGUUAAUGAGGCGAACCGGGGGAACUGAAACAUCUAAGUACCCCGAGGAAAAGAAAUCAACCGAGAUUCCCCCAGUAGCGGCGAGCGAACGGGGAGCAGCCCAGAGCCUGAAUCAGUAUGUGUGUUAGUGGAAGCGUCUGGAAAGGCGCGCGAUACAGGGUGACAGCCCCGUACACAAAAAUGCACAUGCUGUGAGCUCGAUGAGUAGGGCGGGACACGUGGUAUCCUGUCUGAAUAUGGGGGGACCAUCCUCCAAGGCUAAAUACUCCUGACUGACCGAUAGUGAACCAGUACCGUGAGGGAAAGGCGAAAAGAACCCCGGCGAGGGGAGUGAAAAAGAACCUGAAACCGUGUA
rnacentral:rRNA from 1 species